UUGAACGCUGGCGGCAGGCCUAACACAUGCAAGUCGAGCGGAUGAAGGGAGCUUGCUCCUGGAUUCAGCGGCGGACGGGUGAGUAAUGCCUAGGAAUCUGCCUGGUAGUGGGGGAUAACGUCCGGAAACGGGCGCUAAUACCGCAUACGUCCUGAGGGAGAAAGUGGGGGAUCUUCGGACCUCACGCUAUCAGAUGAGCCUAGGUCGGAUUAGCUAGUUGGUGGGGUAAAGGCCUACCAAGGCGACGAUCCGUAACUGGUCUGAGAGGAUGAUCAGUCACACUGGAACUGAGACACGGUCCAGACUCCUACGGGAGGCAGCAGUGGGGAAUAUUGAACAAUGGGCGAAAGCCUGAUCCAGCCAUGCCGCGUGUGUGAAGAAGGUCUUCGGAUUGUAAAGCACUUUAAGUUGGGAGGAAGGGCAGUAAGUUAAUACCUUGCUGUUUUGACGUGACCAACAGAAUAAGCACCGGCUAACUUCGU
rnacentral:rRNA from 1 species